UGGAAGAGCAGCUUACAUCAAUCAGGAAAAGAGACAGACCCUGCCACCAGGCAUGCAAACAGAACAGACAAGACAUGUGCACAAGAGAAGGGAGUGAAGGGAAGAGGAGCGAGAUGGAUUUUUCAAGGCCAGAACAAAGUGCUGAGCUAUAAGCGGCCAUUGAAAUGCACUUUGGUCCAGUGCAUUUUCCCUUCCUGUCCAGGAGUAGCAACUGCAAUGCUUACUUAGCUCUUGAAAAUUACAGAGAAGUGAAUGAAGGUGAACAAGCUAUAACUGAACCUGAAGAAGACUAAUUUGAUUCUGCUCCUGUAUGGAUUUGGACCCACAUUUUCUAAGAAGAGGCUGUGGCUGGCUAGCAGAUCUUGGAGUUCCAACACCCUCCCUGCCCCAAAACCCAAAGUAGAUCCUGCAAGAUUGAAGUC